GGUGAGGUGUCAGAGCGGCUUAAUGAGCUAGUUUCGAAAACUAGAGUGUGGGCAACUGCACCGGGGGUUCAAAUCCCUCCCUCACCGCCA
rnacentral:tRNA from 1 species